CCAUAGCUCAGUUGGCCAGAGCACGUGAUUUGUAAUCUCGGGGUCGUGGGUUCGAAUCCCUCUGG
rnacentral:tRNA from 6 species